UACGUAGGGGGCGAGCGUUAUCCGGAUUUACUGGGUGUAAAGGGAGCGCAGACGGUCUGGUGAGUCUGGCGUGAAACCCCGCGGCCCAACCGCGGGCUUGCGCCGGAUACUGUCAGACUGGAGUGCAGGAGGGGCAGGCGGAAUUCCUGGUGUAGCGGUGAAAUGCGCAGAUAUCAGGAGGAACACCGGAGGCGAAGGCGGCCUGCUGGACUGCAACUGACGUUGAGGCUCGAAGGCGUGGGGAG
rnacentral:rRNA from 1 species